rnacentral:rRNA from 1 species
GACGAACGCUGGCGGCGUGCUUAACACAUGCAAGUCGAACGGAAAGGCCUUGCUUGCUUGGUGCGCUCGAGUGGCGAACGGGUGUGUAACGCGUGUGUAACCUCCCCUUGUCUUUGGUAUAACUUCAGGAAACGGGGGCAUAUACCGGAUAGAUGUUUCUGCUGCAUGGUGGGGGUUGGAAAGUUUCGGCGGUUGGGGAUGGACUCGCGGCUUAUCAGCUUGUUGGUGGGGUAUUGGCUUACCAAGGCACUGACGGGUAGCCGGCCUGAGAGGGUGACCGGCCACAUUGGGACUGAGAUACGGCCCAGACUCCUACGGGAGGCAGCAGUGGGGAAUAUUGCACAAUGGGCGGAAGCCUGAUGCAGCAACGCCGCGUGCGGGAUGACGGCCUUCGGGUUGUAAACCGCUUUCGGCUGUGACGAAGCGUAAGUGACGGUAAUGGGUAAAGAAGCACCGGCUAACUACGUG